ACGCUAGAGUAUAAAUUAAGACGUAAGCCUGUAGACCACGCCCCAAUUGCGUGCGUAGAGUGCAGAAUUAGCGUUGAAGAUCAAGAGCCAUUUGUUAGUAGCCUGAAGAGAAGAGAUAGGCAACGCUGGGGCUACAGACAGCGCUGACAAUUGGCUGGCUCAUAGACUUCUGCCAGGGUUGGCUGCUGUUUUGAUGGACUUUGAAGAGCUUCCAUGAAAGCCUGUGUGUAAUACCACUCUUGGACCUCAGUGUCACCAGAGUGCUGUGCUCCAGGCCAAGUUGGACCAGUCUCUUUGUCUGGGCUGCAGUAAUGCUUGGCUUCCCCGGGCAUCAGAUUGGUGGAACCUCCGCUUUUGUGAGGUCCACACAGCUCCAUCUGCUUAUUAGCAGACCGAAUAGGGAGGUUGGGGAGGCAGCUGAUCAGUGAAUGGUGUGUCGUAACUGCCUCCAUCGCCAGGACAUCUGGAAAUGAGCUUCUGACCAUUCUGCUAACUUGGUGGCAAGGAUCUCCAGCUUCUGAAGGAUGCGAUGCCAUUGUGUGCUGGAACAUGGUGGAAGACCCAACCAGCCACUCAACCGGACGUAUCAACAUGCAGGUGGCCAUUGAGGAGAAAGGACAACACUGGAUAGUGCCAUGAACAGCUCGAAUCGUGGAUAGUACACGUCUAAAGCACUGAAGAGAAACGUCUCCACUCGACACAAAUGAAGACAGUGUGUAUUAACAUUAAAAGACAAUCCAACCUGCUGUGUGACUAAUGCUAGUUGAGGAACUUGGACACUCGUGCUGAUUGUACUGAGACUGGGGUCUAUUGGCACACUUACGUUUCUCCCAUCUACUACUGAAGGCACUCCUUUGCUACAAAUCUGGCUCUGUAUUUAUUGGAUUGUGUUAUUUUGUUAUUGAUUUAUUAGUUUGUGUAGCUACCUGAUUUUCUUUUGCAGCUUGUAGUUAAUUUAAUUGAAGACAUUCUCACAAAACCAC